rnacentral:rRNA from 1 species
UGGUGGGUAGUUUGACUGGGGCGGUCUCCUCCCAAAGCGUAACGGAGGAGCACGAAGGUUAGCUAAUCCUGGUCGGACAUCAGGAGGUUAGUGCAAUGGCAUAAGCUAGCUUGACUGCGAGCGUGACGGCGCGAGCAGGUGCGAAAGCAGGUCAUAGUGAUCCGGUGGUUCUGAAUGGAAGGGCCAUCGCUCAACGGAUAAAAGGUACUCCGGGGAUAACAGGCUGAUACCGCCCAAGAGUUCAUAUCGACGGCGGUGUUUGGCACCUCGAUGUCGGCUCAUCACAUCCUGGGGCUGAAGUAGGUCCCAAGGGUAUGGCUGUUCGCCAUUUAAAGUGGUACGCGAGCUGGGUUUAGAACGUCGUGAGACAGUUCGGUCCCUAUCUGCCGUGGGCGCUGGAGAAUUGAGGGGGGCUGCUCCUAGUACGAGAGGACCGGAGUGGACGCAUCACUGGUGUUCGGGUUGUCAUGCCAAUGGCACUGCCCGGUAGCUAAAUGCGGAAG